rnacentral:rRNA from 1 species
CUACGGGGCGCUCCAGUGAGGAAUAUUACACAAUGGGGGGAACCCUGAUGCAGCAACGCCGCGUGGAGGAUGACGCAUUUCGGUGUGUAAACUCCUUUUAUAUGUCAAGAAAAUGACGGUAGCAUAUGAAUAAGCACCGGCUAACUCCGUGCCAGCAGCCGCGGUAAUACGGAGGGUGCAAGCGUUACUCGGAAUCACUGGGCGUAAAGGACGCGUAGGCGGGUUGGAAAGUCAGGUGUGAAAUCCUACAGCUUAACUGUAGAACUGCACUUGAAACUUCUAAUCUAGAGUAUGGGAGGGGGAGAUGGAAUUAGUGGUGUAGCGGUAAAAUCCGUAGAUAUCACUAGGAAUACCUAAAGCGAAGGCGAUCUCCUGGAACAUUACUGACGCUAAGGCGUGAAAGCGUGGGGAGCAAACAGGAUUAGAUACCCCCGUAGUC